GUACUUGUGCUUAAAGCUUAAGGGUCAUUAUAUAUAUAUAUAUAUAUAUAUAUAUCACAUCAUAUAUGUGGGUGGAAAUUGGAAAAAAGAGGGUGAAAGAGAAAAAUUGUUAGUUACGGCUUGAGGUGUGGGGGCUGCAAUAAGGAGACGCGUGCCAAACAAGGUAAUUGAGUUUUCUAUUUCUUUAUUAUUCUUACACUAACUACACAACACUAUUACCAUGAACGACUAUCAUCAUACUUUUUGUCAUAAUUUAUUAAGAUUAUUAUGUUUAGGAAAAUACUGAAUUAAUUAUAAAAAAAAAGUUUAUUAUAGCUUGCCACUUUUUCUUGUUUUCAGACUGGAUAGCUCAUCUUGUUUUGAGGAUGGAUGAGGGCGUUGCACUUGGUAUUGUCAUCCGUCAAAACGUUUUUUUACUUUGAUUAAAGUUACAUAUUCCCCUUUUUAACUUGUAAAAUGAGUGAAAUAUAUCUCUAAAUUUUCGUUAAAUUUAGAGGUAUUGUAGCACUUUUUUUGUUUCUAAUUAAGAGUCUCAUGCUUCUACAAAAAUUUAAAAACAAUUGUUAUAUCAUGAUGUGCAAAUUGG
rnacentral:lncRNA from 1 species